GACGAACGCUGGCGGCGUGCUUAACACAUGCAAGUCGAACGGAAAGGCCUCUUUCGGGGGGUACUCGAGUGGCGAACGGGUGAGUAACACGUGAGUAACCUGCCCUUGACUUUGGGAUAACUUCAGGAAACUGGGGCUAAUACUGGAUAGGAGCUCCUGCUGCAUGGUGGGGGUUGGAAAGUUUCGGCGGUUGGGGAUGGACUCGCGGCUUAUCAGCUUGUUGGUGGGGUAGUGGCUUACCAAGGCUUUGACGGGUAGCCGGCCUGAGAGGGUGACCGGCCACAUUGGGACUGAGAUACGGCCCAGACUCCUACGGGAGGCAGCAGUGGGGAAUAUUGCACAAUGGGUGGAAGCCUGAUGCAGCAACGCCGUGUGCGGGAUGACGGCCUUCGGGUUGGAAACCGCUUUCGCUCAUGACGAAGCUUUGUGUGACGGUAGUGGGUAAAGAAGCACCGGCUAACUACGUG
rnacentral:rRNA from 1 species